AGAAAGCAUAUGAGAAUUACUGGGUCACUGCCUACUGGAGUUGUGAGAAGAGGGCCACAGUCCUCCAGACCCCAGAAUGGUAGAUCCACCGACAGCUUGCACUGUAUUCCUGGAAAAGCCUCAGACGUUCAACGCCAGCCUGUGAAAGCAGCCAGGAGUGGGGCUGUACCCUGCAAAGCCACAGAGGCAGAGCUGCCCAAGGCCAUGGGAGCCCACCUCUUGCCUCAGCGUGACCUAAAUCACUUCUCCUUUCUGCCGUUAUGUGAAGAAGGUUAUGUUUGCUUCCCCUUCUGCCAUGAUUGUAAGUUUCCUGAGGCCUUCCCACCCACGCAGAACUGUGAG
rnacentral:lncRNA from 1 species